GAGGAAGAGCACUUCAUCUUCUGAUCAGCUCAGCAAAAGCUUCACUACCAGCCAAGACAUAACUGAUUCCAACUGAAAUGCUGCAGAAAAACAGAAAAAUAAAUGAAAGGAGAAGACUGUGCAUAAUUACAAGGAGCUGGACCUGCAAACCUCAAGCAGCUAUCUUGGAUCAAGGUGAUGAUGACUGCAGCAUGUUGUCGAUUCACCCUCUCUGGUGCAACUCUUAAAAGUUUUGGUGCAUUUUGCCACAUGG